rnacentral:rRNA from 1 species
UACGGGGGGGGCAAGCGUUGUUCGGAAUUACUGGGCGUAAAGGGCUCGUAGGCGGCCAACUAAGUCAGACGUGAAAUCCCUCGGCUUAACCGGGAACUGCGUCUGAUACUGGAUGGCUAGAGUUUGGGAGAGGGAUGCGGAAUUCCAGGUGUAGCGGUGAAAUGCGUAGAUAUCUGGAGGAACACCGGUGGCGAAGGCGGCAUCCUGGACCAACACUGACGCUGAGGAGCGAAAGCGUGGGGAGCAAACAGG